UGCGGCCUAUCAGGUAGUUGGUGGGGUAAAGGCCUACCAAGCCUGCGACGGGUAGCCGGACUGAGAGGUCGACCGGCCACACUGGAACUGAGACACGGUCCAGACUCCUACGGGAGGCAGCAGUGGGGAAUAUUGCACAAUGGGGGAAACCCUGAUGCAGCGACGCCGCGUGGAGGAUGACGGCCUUCGGGCUGUAAACUCCUUUUGUCAGGGACAAUGGUGAUGGUACCUGACGAAUAAGCCACGGCUAACUCUGUGCCAGCAGCCGCGGUAAGACAGAGGUGGCGAGCGUUGUUCGGAAUUACUGGGCUUAAAGGGCGCGUAGGCGGUGGUGUAAGUCUGGGGUGGAAUGCUACAGCUCAACUGUAGAGCUGCCUUGGAAACUGCAUUACUUGAGUCGGUGAGGGGAAGGCGGAAUUCCUGGUGUAGCGGUGAAAUGCGUAGAUAUCAGGAGGAAGGUCUGUGGCGAAGGCGGCCUUCUGGCACUUGACUGACGCUGAGGCGCGAAAGCGUGGGGAGCAAACAGGAUUAGAUACCCUGGUAGUCCACGCCCUAAACGGUGGGUAUUAGGUGUGGGGCCUUCAUGGGUUCCGUGCCGUAGCGAAAGCA
rnacentral:rRNA from 1 species